rnacentral:tRNA from 1 species
UCCCUGGUGGCCUAGUGAUGAAGAACUUAGCAUUGUCACUGCUGUGGCUCAGGUUCGACCCCUGGCCUAGGAA